rnacentral:lncRNA from 1 species
GAAAAUAUUCCAUUAGAAAAUGGCACGCGGACGGAGUCGUAAACGAACAAACGACGGACGAUCACAAUCUGUAAGAAUAGAUCAAGAAAUCGUAGAGGACCGCUUCGAUGAAGAACAUCGAAGAAAAUGGACAAAAGGAUUGAGGCAACCGGAUGCACCAACUCCCGCCACUAUUGUUAAGAGCGGGUGAGUAUUUUCAUUAUAAUUCAUUAUAUUUUAUCAUUUAAUUUGAUUGUUUUUUAUAGGACUUUUACAAACAAUGUAAGAAGUCAAAUAGGAAUAUUAGUAAAAGGUAAUAUAACGUCACCUUUAACUAAAUGGACUUCUUGGAAAGAAGAGGAAAAGGAAAAUAUUUUCGUCAAAUUUCUGGUAUGAUUUAUUUAUUUGUCAUUUUUUCCAUAUGUAAUGUUUUUGUCUUUAUGUAGUGCUAUUUCUCAUUUGAGGACAUUCAAUUGGCUCGUGAAUGUUUUGAUAAUUAUGUACAACUAAAUUAUACAUGUUGGUUGUAUAAAGUGAGACAAGAGGCAAAGAAAUUAGCAAAAGUUGACACACUAACCAGAUAUUGCGUUAGAUUUCCAUCGAUAUACCUUUCUACGGAAGUAUGGAGUGAAAUGAUAGAAAUUUGGUUAAAAGAAGAUUGGAAAAAAAGAUCUGAAAAAGCAUCAGAAAAUAGGACAAACAAUCCAGAUUACAUGCCAUACACGGGCGGAUCUUGUUCAGUUGCGGCCACUCAUGAAAGAAUGGUAAAAAAAUAUUUCUUUCCUAUAUUUUACAUUUAUCAUUCUAAUUUUUUUGAGUAUGACAAUCAGAAUGAAGAAGCUGGUUAUGAAGUCGGUCACUGUGAGGUUUAUAAUAAAACACAUAG